AUGAGAUACUGGGGUGCUCUGCUGGGACUUCUGUGGGCCUGGAUUGGCUGGGUGAGAGGGAUGCAGGUGGAGCAGAGUCCUCCAUCCCUGAGUGUCCAGGAGGGAAACAGCUCCACUCUGAGCUGCAACUAUUCUACCACCAUGAGAAGUGUGCAGUGGUUCCGACAGAUUCCUGGGGGCAGCCUGGUCACCCUGUUUUACAUAGCUUCAGGGACUCGGAAGCAGGAGGGAAGGUUAAGCAUGUCUUUGGACACUAAGGAACGGCACAGCACCCUGCACAUCGAGGGCUCACAGCUGGAGGACUCAGCCACCUACUUGUGUGCGGUGGAGGCACAUUGCUCCGGGCUGGCAGUCCGGGAAGGUACUAGAAAAGGCUUUUCCAGCUCAAGACUUUUGGAUGAUGAGUCGCAGUAUUCCAUGACAUAA